AUUUGACAGACGUUAUCUAUCUCCAGUAAUAUUCAAAAAUACGCUCGUUUAUUAUACGUCAAAAACACGUCAUCGCCAAGACAUUUGUACUGGAAAUGAGUUUUCACUACGGACAGGGUUACCCCACGCAAGGGCAUAACUACCCCGGUCAUCACCCCCCUCCAGGGGGGCAGGUACCCCCAGGUGCCCCGUACCGGGCUGGGAUGCCCCCUGGAGGUCAGGCGGGGCAGUACGGAGGCCCUACUGCCCCAGGCUACUCCCCAUACGGGGGGCAGUACCCGGCGGGGCAGGCUCCUGGCGCCCCCCAUGGCUCGUACCCGUCCUCUGGGUUAGGGGGCCAGUUUGGGGCCGGGAGGGGUGCUCCUGGGGCCCCGUAUGGAGGGCAGGUUCCUCCUGGAGGGAGUUUUGGGGGACAGGCCCCCGGGGGCCCCUACGGGGGGUACAGCCAGCCACAGGGGGGGCACUACGGCCAGCAGCCUCCGGCAGGGAACAUGCCCCCAGGAGUGAGCUCGGAGGCGUAUCAGUGGUUCCAGGCCGUGGACAUGGACCACAGCGGCAGCAUCAGCCUGAAGGAGCUGAAACAGGCCCUGCUCAACUCCAACAACCAGGCCUUCAACGACGAGACCUGCCUCAUGAUGCUCAACAUGUUCGAUAAGACCCGGUCCGGUCGUAUGGACGUGUUCGGGUUCUCUGCGCUCUGGGUCUUCCUGCAGCAGUGGAGAGGCAUGUUCCAGCAGUUCGACCGCGACCGCUCUGGGUCCAUCAACGGGAACGAGCUGCACCAAGCUCUGGCGCAGUUGGGGUACAGCCUGAGCCCUCAGUUUGCGGCGGGGCUGGUGGGCCGGUUCUCGGGGGGCCGGGGGCCCCAGGGCGGGCUGCAGCUGGACCGGUUCCUGCAGGUGUGCACGCAGCUCCAGAGCAUGACCCAGGCCUUCCGCCAGCGCGACACCGCCAUGACCGGCCACGCCCGCCUCAGCUACGAGGACUUCCUCUCCAGCGCCGUGCAACGCCUCAUGUGACCCUGCAGGCCCCGCCCCCCUGUUAGGACACGCCCCCGCAUGCUCACACACACACACUCACACAGAGACACAUGCUGAAACACACACACACUCACACACACACACAUACAGAGACACAUGCUGAAACACACACACACUCACACACACACACACACACAUGCACACACACACACACUCAUACAGAGACACAUGCUGAAACACACAUACACACACAUACACACACACACACACACACACACACACACGCACCUCCGUCAGCAUCAGGUACACAGCCACACACGGCCCGGUUCACACCCUCCCUCCUCAUAACCUCUGUGUUUUUACCUUCUUUACGGCGGUUCGUGCUUCAUUAAUGCCUAACUCGUGACCGGCCUCGCCCUCUUGUGUAGUGGACGUUAAUGCAGUGCUGAUGCACAGUGGGCUGACAGACCCAGGGCGGAGGGCAGCGGGCUGAGAGUCGGGAGCACGCGGUCACAGGCUACGCCCGCGGCUACGCUAGCAGGCACUGUGAACGGCGCUCACCAUGGCAACAGCCCCUUAUGUGUGUCCUGGUCCAUUAAUAAACUGCUAUUCUAAUGUUUGUUUAUGUGCCAAAUUACCUUCAGCUCAGAGCUAUACAAUUCUGAAUGCCCCAACGCUAUGAACCCGGAGCUAUACAAUUCUGAUGGUCCAAAUGCUUAUAGAGCUGUACAAUAAUGUACUGUAUGCGAAUGAGUCGUUUGUUGUUUCUACGUAUCCUUGUACCAUCUGUAUAUAUGCUUUCUUUUAUAAAUAAAGACGUUAGACUGAA